rnacentral:rRNA from 1 species
GACAGAGGAUGCAAGCGUUGUCCGGAUUUACUGGGCGUAAAGAGCGCGCAGGCGGUCGUUCAAGUCGAGUGUGAAAGCCCCCGGCUCAACUGGGGAGGGUCACUCGAUACUGAUCGACUCGAAGGCAGGAGAGGGUAGUGGAAUUCCCGGUGUAGUGGUGAAAUGCGUAGAUAUCGGGAGGAACACCAGUGGCGAAGGCGACUACCUGGCCUGUUCUUGACGCUGAGGCGCGAAAGCUAGGGGAGCGAAUGGG